rnacentral:rRNA from 1 species
GUGUCAGCCGCCGCGGUAAUACGAAGGGACCUAGCGUAGUUCGGAAUUACUGGGCGUAAAGCGCGCGUAGGCCGUUGAGUUAGUUAAUUGUGAAAUCCCAAAGCUUAACUUUGGAACUGCAAUUAAAACUGCUCGACUAGAGUUUGAUAGAGGAAAGCGGAAUACAUAGUGUAGAGGUGAAAUUCGUAGAUAUUAUGUAGAACACCAGUUGCGAAGGCGGCUUUCUGGAUCAACACUGACGCUGAGGCGCGAAAGUAUGGGUAGCAAAGAGGAUUAGAUACCCUCGUAGUCCAUACCAUAAACGAUGAUUGCUAGAUGUUGGAAAUUUAUUUUCAGUAUCGCAGCUAACGCAUUAAGCAAUCCGCCUGGGGAGUACGACCGCAAGGUUAAAACUCAAAUGAAUUGACGGGG